UAGAGUUUGGUCCUGGCUCAGACUCUAAGUCGUAACAAGGUAACCGUAAAUCCCGCACUAGUGAUUAGAGUUUGAUCCUGGCUCAGGAUGAACGCUGGCGGCGUGCCUAAUACAUGCAAGUCGAACGCACAGCGAAAGGUGCUUGCACCUUUCAAGUGAGUGGCGAACGGGUGAGUAACACGUGGAUAACCUACCUCAAGGUUGGGGAUAACAUUUGGAAACAGAUGCUAAUACCGAAUAAAACUUAGUAUCGCAUGAUACCAGGUUAAAAGGCGCUACGGCGUCACCUAGAGAUGGAUCCGCGGUGCAUUAGUUAGUUGGUGGGGUAAAGGCUUACCAAGACAAUGAUGCAUAGCCGAGUUGAGAGACUGAUCGGCCACAUUGGGACUGAGACACGGCCCAAACUCCUACGGGAGGCUGCAGUAGGGAAUCUUCCACAAUGGGCGAAAGCCUGAUGGAGCAACGCCGCGUGUGUGAUGAAGGCUUUCGGGUCGUAAAGCACUGUUGUAUGGGAAGAACAGCUAGAGUAGGGAAUGACUUUAGUUUGACGGUACCAUACCAGAAAGGGACGGCUAAAUACGUGCCAGCAGCCGCGGUAAUACGUAUGUCCCGAGCGUUAUCCGGAUUUAUUGGGCGUAAAGCGAGCGCAGACGGUUAAUUAAGUCUGAUGUGAAAGCCCGGAGCUCAACUCCGGAAAGGCAUUGGAAACUGGUUAACUUGAGUGCAGUAGAGGUAAGUGGAACUCCAUGUGUAGCGGUGGAAUGCGUAGAUAUAUGGAAGAACACCAGCGGCGAAGGCGGCUUACUGGACUGUAACUGACGUGAGG
rnacentral:rRNA from 1 species